CCAUGAAGCCAUCUAUCCAGCUCCAGAGCCAGACUAAAGUGAGAUUGGCAAAUGGACUUGGGAUGAAGAAGAAGAGCAGCAGCAGCAGCAGCAGCAGCAGCAGCAGCAGCAGCAGCAGCAGCAGCAGCAGCAGAUGUUAUCCUAAUGGAAAACUGGAGGCUCCUCAGCCCUGGGCCGUCCCUCCUGUGCUGGCGUGUGUGCCUCUCCGCUCAUGGUCUGCCUUGCUGACACCGCUUUGGCACCUGGAGUCAUCUAGUAAAGGGGAGAAACAAGGAAGCCUUGGGUGCCUGAGAAUCUCUUCGGUUGGACCACCCAGCAGUCUGUAAACAUUUUCUAUUUCCUGCAUUGGCUCAGAUGAUGCUAACAAGGGUCCCCUAUCUCUGGUUCCUAAUAACAUUCUCUCCAUUUUGUUAUGUUAAUGCUCCUCCCUCUCC
rnacentral:lncRNA from 1 species